rnacentral:rRNA from 1 species
UACGUAGGUGGCAAGCGUUGUCCGGAAUUACUGGGUGUAAAGCGCGUGUAGGCGGCCGGCCAAGUCUGCGGUGAAAGCGCCCGGCUCAACUGGGCGAGGUCCGUGGAAACUGGUCAGCUGGAGGACGGUAGAGGCGAGUGGAAUUCCCGGUGUAGUGGUGAAAUGCGUAGAGAUCGGGAGGAACACCAGUGGCGAAGGCGACUACCUGGCCUGUUCUUGACGCUGAGGCGCGAAAGCUAGGGGAGCAAACGGG